ACGCUGGCGGCGUGCUUACACAUGCAAGUCGAACGGAAAGGCCCUGCUUGCAGGGUACUCGAGUGGCGAACGGGUGAGUAACACGUGGGUGAUCUGCCCUGCACUUCGGGAUAAGCCUGGGAAACUGGGUCUAAUACCGGAUAGGACCAUCGUUUAGUGUCGGUGGUGGAAAGUUUUUCGGUGCAGGAUGAGCUCGCGGCCUAUCAGCUUGUUGGUGGGGUAAUGGCCUACCAAGGCGUCGACGGGUAGCCGGCCUGAGAGGGUGGACGGCCACAUUGGGACUGAGACACGGCCCAGACUCCUACGGGAGGCAGCAGUGGGGAAUAUUGCACAAUGGGCGCAAGCCUGAUGCAGCGACGCCGCGUGGGGGAUGAAGGCCUUCGGGUUGUAAACUUCUUUCAACCAUGACGAAGCGUAAGUGACAGUAGUGGUAGAAGAAGCACCGGCUAACUACGUGCCAGCAGCCGCGGUAAUACGUAGGGUGCGAGCGUUGUCCGGAAUUACUGGGCGUAAAGAGCUCGUAGGUGGUUUGUCGCGUCGUCUGUGAAAUUCCGGGGCUUAACUCCGGGCGUGCAGGCGAUACGGGCAUAACUUGAGUGCUGUAGGGGAGACUGGAAUUCCUGGUGUAGCGGUGAAAUGCGCAGAUAUCAGGAGGAACACCAAUGGCGAANGCAGGUCUCUGGGCAGUAACUGACGCUGAGGAGCGAAAGCAUGGGNUAGCGAACAGGAUUAGAUACCCUGGUAGUCCAUGCCGUAAACGGUGGGCGCUAGGUGUGGGGGUCUUCCACGACUUCUGUGCCGUANCUAACGCAUUAG
rnacentral:rRNA from 1 species